UGUCUUAAAAGGCCACGUGAGACUCCUCGCUCAGCAGACGACCAGAUCACCGGUUCCAAGUACACACAUCUCCAGCAACAACAGUCACAAGCGUUCAACACCUUAACUGUAGAAGCCAAGAUGAAGUUCCUGCUCCUUUCUGUUAUUCUUUGCUGUGUUGUGAUGGGUCUGGUGGGAGCACAACAAGAACGCCAUCCUCAUCCAUGUCACUGCCCUCGACCUGCCAUUCAAACAGAGAGUGUCGCAUUACUGGAAAAGGUCCCCACUGCCGUGUUGUUCACGUUUUUAAUUUCUGUC